rnacentral:rRNA from 1 species
AUUGAACGCUGGCGGCAGGCUUAACACAUGCAAGUCGAGCGGGGAAGGGUAGCUUGCUACCUGACCUAGCGGCGGACGGGUGAGUAAUGCUUAGGAAUCUGCCUAUUAGUGGGGGACAACAUUCCGAAAGGAAUGCUAAUACCGCAUACGCCCUACGGGGGAAAGCAGGGGAUCUUCGGACCUUGCGCUAAUAGAUGAGCCUAAGUCAGAUUAGCUAGUUGGUGGGGUAAAGGCCUACCAAGGCGACGAUCUUGAGCGGGUCUGAGAGGAUAAUCCGCCACACUGGGACUGAGACACGGCCCAGACUCCUACGGGAGGCAGCAGUGGGGAAUAUUGGACAAUGGGCGAAAGCCUGAUCCAGCCAUGCCGCGUGUGUGAAGAAGGCCUUUUGGUUGUAAAGCACUUUAAGCGAGGAGGAGGCUACCGAGAUUAAUACUCUUGGAUAGUGGACGUUACUCGCAGAAUAAGCACCGGCUAACUCUGUGCCAGCCGCCGCUGUAAUAC